AAGUCAUGCCUAGGACAGCAUCCUGUGCUCUCACUUUCUGACGAGAGACUCAAGUAUUAAGUGUCAUCCUAGACACUGAGAGGAAGUCCGAUGUCUACACAAAUACAUGCACAGUGGGAAUCCUCUACACAGAGAGACGGCAGCUGCGCUCUCCGUUUAAGAACUGCCCCGGUGUGCGCAGACAGUAAGGAGCCGACGCUGACCCACAAGGAGGGUUCAGAGGUCCAGCUGAGCCAGGCCCGAGGCUCUCAACAGGGAGAUAUCCUCCUGCGUUCUUCUAGUUUCUCCUGGCUCAGGGAUGGCGGCUCACGUCUGCUGCCACCUUGCCAAUCAACCGCGGAAUGUGAUUGCAAAAUCUUCACACAGGAUCCAUGAACUGUCAAGGUGAUGCCGAGAACUGGCCCCCUUUACUCCAGACCCUGAGCUCUGACUUAAGUAUAGGACAUGGUCCCUUACAACCUUCACACUCCCAAGGAGACUCAACCCAGAUGAGACUUGGGGUCGUCCCACGCACUCCGGCCCUCAGUUCACUCCAGACCUAGUUAAACUUCGCAGCUUAGUGGGACUUGACCCUGAGAAUAAUUUCACAGGUCGAGAAGCUGAUGCCUCUGGAAAGCUGAGUAAGCCACCUUGAUCACAUAUCACUCUUAGCAGGGACGGAGUCAGCAUGAUGUCUGCCAGCAGAGCCUGCUUGCUGGUGGUUCCUGUCCCUGGGCUAGAGAAGACCAGUCUAGCAUCAGGACCACAGACAGCUGGAGGAGAUAUCCUCAGUCACAUAAAUACCCCUCUGGCGGGCUGUCGGCUGGGGGAGAGGUGCUUUUGAAAAAAACGUUGUCUAGGUACCGAUCACACAGACAGCGAAGGAGCCAGCCAGGGAGGACAUUCUUAAUGUAUGAAGUCAUUGGCUUCCACUCUACCUGCAGAGCAAGGUUGCUGUGUGGACUGCCGAGGACCAAGCUCCCCAAGGGCUUCUAGGUGCAGCAGAGAAUGUAAAAAAUCUACCAAACAUCCUGCAGCUUCACUCAGCCCUCCAAACUCAAAUAUUUGUUUUGCGCAUCAGGAAAUGGCUCGGGGCUCUGGUAACUCUCACUAAGUGCAAGAUGAUGAGGCCACGUGGCCAGCUAAGUGCCCAGAGUGAGUCAGGAUGUCUCCGGGGCUCCGGCACCAAACGCUGCCUGCCGCCGCCCACCCUUCACCACUGCUGAAGACUCUGCCCUACCUUCCGUGGCUACGUUGACUGUUGGAUUUGCCACCCGACCAAGAUGCAGGGCCGUCUGUUCCCCGUCUCACGUCGUCAGGUGCUGUCUGAUAGUCUGAUAACAAGGCUCAGUGCUUGGUGACGCCAGUCCCCCCCCCCC